rnacentral:rRNA from 1 species
UACGUAGGUGGCAAGCGUUGUCCGGAAUUAUUGGGCGUAAAGCGCGCGCAGGCGGUCCUUUAAGUCUGAUGUGAAAGCCCACGGCUCAACCGUGGAGGGUCAUUGGAAACUGGGGGACUUGAGUACAGAAGAGAAGAGUGGAAUUCCCGGUGUAGCGGUGAAGUGCGCAGAUAUCGGGAAGAACACCCGUGGCGAAGGCGGCUCUCUGGGACGGUACUGACGCUGAGACGCGAAAGCGUGGGGAGCGAACAGG